UUCUCCUCUUUCAAGUUCAUACUUGGGAAGCCGUUUACGAUUGGUGUACUCGGAAGCAGCAGCAGCCAAUGACAUAAGAGCUUCCACCGCCGGCCUAGGCGACGUGACACACCUUCUUUUCUCUCCGGCUUCCCCGCCCCUUCUCGCCCGCCUUCCCUUAUUCAUACAAGAAGCGCCUCCGUUCCGAUUGGCCAGGAGGUGAUGCGCUCUCAGCCAAUCGUAAUCCAGGCUGCGCUUGGCUCCUUUCAAGACGACAAACCUUGUAGAGACCACGUCUACGAUUGGUCGCUCCUCGGCAAGGAUUUAAUUUUGAAUUUUUCUUUAAGGUGUGGAAGAGGCUCCAGCCCGAACUUCAUCUAAUCUUCAGGCUUUUAGACUAAAAUCAUGCCCAAAUUCAAACAGCGAAGAAGAAAGCUAAGAGCCAGAGCCAAACACUUAUCUAAGAAGAAAGAAGCCUCUCGGGUCCAGCCUAAGCUAUUGACACCUUCCCCUCCACCUCCACCACCCACACCAGAAAGAGUGGUUACCUCUUCAACAGAUACACCCCAUAGCAGAAACUGGCUAAGACGACCUUGGAACUUCAGGUUUCCCAGCAUCAAAGAUGCAGUAAACCUUUGGACGCACAGAGCAUGGUGCAUAUACAGUUGCUGUCAGACCUGUGCAGCCCAGAGUUUCAAAGUACUGAAAGAUGCCAUCUUCCCUUCCCGAGUCUACCACAGAGAACUUCACAGUCUAAAACAACAAGUUUGUGUUUUGAAAAGUGAAUUAUGCAAGCUCCAAGAAACACUGAAGACCAUCUCAGAAAAUUCUUCUUAUUCAAGCUGUUGUCAUAAGUGUUGUGUGAGUGAUAAACUCAUAAACGUGCCUGCCUGUGCUCCAACAACCCAUGGAGAAUCCAGAACUGUACUUCCUCCCACACUGCCACAGCCAGCCAGUCAUCCUCCCCCUCCCCCUCCUCCUCCCCCUCCUCCUCCCCCUCCUCCUCCCCUUCCUCCACCUCCACCACCCCUAGCACCUUUGCUGCUCAGAAAAUCUGGUACUGCUAAAGCACUUCAGACUGAACCAUUAAAGAAAGAUGGACCUAUGCAUAUAACUGUUAAAGAUCUACUCACUGUAAAACUAAAAAAGACACAGAGUAUUGAAGAAAGGAAGAAGUUAAAGCUUCUACCAUCACCACCAGAGGAACGGAGUCCACUAGUUACUAUCUCCGACCUGCAACGUGUUACUCUGAAACCCAACAACAAGGUGUUAGCCACACGAGUUAAAAAUGUCUUAAUUACUCCUGGUAAAAGCCAGAUAGAUCUGCGGAAACUGCUGAGAAAGGUCGAUGUAGACAGGAGCCCAGGUGGGACCCCUCUCAUCAAUAAAGAAAAUAUGGAAACAGGAACUGGACUGACUCCAGUCAUGACUCGGGCCUUAAGGAGAAAGUUUCUGUAAGUGCUAUGAAGAAAAAGAGCAAGAAAACAGGAAAUGAUCUAGCCAAGAUGGCCUAGCCUAGAAGAUUUCAGAAGCUGGCUCAUCCUCAAAGCCCUACUCAGUCCCUGCCACUUCCUACAAGCAGCUUUGAUGACCAAAACUGAGGCCAACUCUGCCUGACUCCAUGGAGAGAUCCAGACAAUGACAGAUCAAACCCCCUAAAUUUUCAUGUACUAAAAUAUGUAUAGCUCUACGAAUGUAAUUCUGCUUGAAGAGUCAGAGUGAGUAUGUAUGGAACCUACACAUACUGUGGCAAACAGAGAGCAUUUAGAUGCUUUCUGGUGAUCGUGAUGUUAAGGGGACCCGAUGGGAAGGUGCAAUCUGCAAUGUAAUGUGUAUCCUGGAAUUACCCAAUUUAGGUUAGAGCGGCUGUUCAGAUUUAAUUCCAUAGGGACUGGUGAUUGUGGUUCAAUGGGUAAAGGCACUUGCCCCCAAGCCUAAUGACCCAAGUUCAGUGCCCAGGACCCAAAUGGAGGGAAGGAAGAACUGAAUCCCACAGGUUGUCCUCUGACCUCCACAUGUACACUAUUAUAUGUGCCCCCUUCAACACACAAAAUUAAUAAACACGUUAAAAAAUA